rnacentral:lncRNA from 1 species
GGCGCAGUCGGACCGGGCCGGUUCGGCCCAAAGUGGCCGGGCCUGUCCGGUUUACUUUUUCUUUUAGACCUUUUCUUUUUCUGUUUUUCUCAUUUCUUUGAUAUCUUUUGGGUUUGAACUCCAAAUUGGUCCAAAUAAAUUCCAGAAAAUUUCGAAAAUCAUAUUCUACCAUGAUACACUUUUGGAAAUAGUUUAUUUUCAAAAUAAAAUAUAUAAAAAUACAUUUGCC